rnacentral:rRNA from 1 species
GAUGCCCUUAGAUGUCCUGGGCCGCACGCGCGUUACACUGACAGAGCCAGCGAGUAUUUCCUUGACCGGAAGGUCCGGGUAAUCUUGUUAAACUCUGUCGUGCUGGGGAUAGAGCAUUGCAAUUAUUGCUCUUCAACGAGGAAUCCCUAGUAAGCGCAAGUCAUCAGCUUGCGUUGAUUACGUCCCUGCCCUUUGUACACACCGCCCGUCGCUACUACCGAUUGAAUGGCUCAGUGAGACCUCCGGACUGGCCCAGAGAGGUGGGCAACUACCACUCAGGGCCGGAAAGUUGUUCAAACUCGGUCAUUUAGAGGAAG